rnacentral:rRNA from 1 species
GACGAACCGUGCGAACGUUGUUCGGAAUCACUGGGCUUAAAGGGCGCGUAGGCGGGCUGCCAAGUCUGGGGUGAAAUCCCACGGCUCAACCGUGGAACUGCCUCGGAUACUGGCGGCCUCGAGGGAGGUAGGGGCGUGCGGAACUGUGGGUGGAGCGGUGAAAUGCGUUGAUAUCCACAGGAACACCGGUGGCGAAGGCGGCGUUCUGGACUGCAACUGACACUGAGGAACGAAAGCCAGGGGAGCAAACGGG